rnacentral:lncRNA from 1 species
AAUAAACAACCAAACAUAUUUUCACUGUUUUCAUUUUUAUAUACGAUUUUAAAACAACCAACUAAAUAAUUUUUUUCUUUUGAGAACAUCAAAUCAAAAAUACUAUUUUCUUUUAUUAAAAAAGAUGUAAAAAACAACAACAUUCUACUUACUUAGUCUAGAUACUUAAUUAAAAUAUUUACUGAUGUGUCACCGAUUAUUUAAUAUCAUACGUAUGGUAUUCAUUGAUUUUAACUUAUUAUUUUUAUAAUCCACUUAAUAUAUAACAUAUAAAAUGCCAUAUUAAUGAGUAUCUCACUGGAGAAUCUAGAGUAAGCAAAUAUAAUAUUACUCAUUUGAAAAAACACCAACUAAAACAUAAUACUCUAUAUUUCCCUCUCUUCUCUUCUCCUUUCUUUUACCGUCCUCUCUUUUCUUCUCUUCUCUUUUCCCUCCCUUUUUGCAACCCAAACAUGGCAUAAUAGAGCAUCUUGCACUUGUGAAUUUAAUAUAAAGAUGUUUUUUAUUUUUGAAAUAAUUUAUGAGAUCUGCAAAAAAAAAAAAAAAAAGAAGAAGGAAUCAGGAAGUUUCGGAAAGGCAGUUAAACACCGAAUUAUGUAAUUUAUUAAUAAAUAGCAGAAAAACGAAUGCAUGUGUUACAUGGAGAAGUGGUGGAUGGACAUUCAUUAUAUAUUCCUAAAUAAUUUUAAAAAAAAAAUAAGGGAAUAAAUAUUGAAUAAGACCGCCAUCAUGCAUUACUGUACUGUUUCUAAUUUAGGAAUUGAUGCGUGAACAAGUAUGAAUGGCUGACGCGCACACCGUGCGCGUGGGGUAUAUAGAGUCAGCAGAUGCUGUACUCGGUGAUGAAUAUGACCAAAUGCAACGAUCACAGCACGUGAAGCGGCGGUGGGUAUGGGUACGGCGCAGAGAAACCGCGAGGUAUUUGUGACGUGCCAAAAGGUUAGACUAUAGAGAGAGAGAGAGAGAGAGAGAGAGAGAGGGAAAAAAACCAAAAAAAAAAAGAGGGAAAAAAAGCUUCGCCGCCAGUAUUUGCAGCUAGCUGUUAAGUCAAACAUCACUUUUUGGUUUGUUGUGAAAGUGGGGUCCAUCUUCUUUUUGCUCCCCACGUGUCAAGAUGCUUCAUAGUUGCCGUCAAGUGAGUUAAUAUUUUGGUGUGGGCGGCUACUGCCUCACCGCUUCUUCUGACAUCGAGGUGCCUGCGAUUUCGGGCACAACACGCGUCGUCUAUUUUAAAUUAAACUUUUUUAUUUAAAAGAAAAAAUCAAAAUGAUAUUUAAUGAUCAUUAUUUAUUUAUCAUCAAAUUACUUAAAAUUUAUACAAAAAUUUUAAAUAAAAAAUUAGAUUAAAAUAAUCCCAUCCUUUAACUGAUUUUGUUUAAAUAAUAAUUGUCACAUCAAUAAUUAUUCAAUAAUAAAAAGACUGUUGUGGGUUUUAUUAUUUUGCACGUUCAUUUAUUUGAUAUAAAAUUGAAUUCUCUUAACUUAAUUUUUUUGUCUUAAAACUACAACUUAAAAGAUUUCUAUCCUUAACUUAAUAGCGGUUGAUUAUUGUCAGUUUGGCUUAUAUUUGCCGCGCUCACGACCUUAAUAACUAUAUUAGUGACCAUCUCGGUUCAAUAUUCGGUUUUCCUUACAUUUUUUUUUAUUUAUUUUUUAAAUUCAUUUUGGACCGAAAACUUACAGGUUUAAAACUUAAACCGAAUCAAAAGGAAUUAUUUGAAAUGAGUUCAAUUUAGUUCAAUAAAUUUUUGUCCGUCCAUCUAUUGCAUAAGGGUUAAGGUCUAAAAAGUCCUUACAAGGCAAACCAUGCGAAUUUAGAUACAAUAUAUCUAGCAGGAUUCUUGCAAGAUGAAAAAUACCAAAUUUAGUUCCUACUAUUAGCAACCACAGUUAGUUAAGAUGACUAUCAUUUACACCCAAAUAAAUAAAUAAAAUUAUACUCUCUUUCUCUCCAAAUAACCUAAGGUUCAAUAACAGCGCAUGUGACAAAAGGCUUAAGGCCGAUCCACCGGGUCUUAAGGUCCGAUCAUGAACUUUGAGACCCAUCCCGCCCAGCCUUAUGAGACAUUCGACAUAACUAAGCUGCCUGGACGUAAUCCAACCCGGCCCAUUUUUUAUUUAAUAAAAUCCAUAAUUUUUCCCCCCUCCAACCCAAUCUCAUUUCAAGAAUUUAUUUACAAAAGAAAUUCACAUUUUUUUUAAAAAAAUUUCAUUUAUGCAAUUAAUGAAUUUUAAAAAAAAUAGUGAAGCUAAAAUAAUUUUGUUGGUAGUUUAGUAUUUUUACCUUAUGUUAAAUUAGUCAAAUUAAACUUAUGUUAAAAACACCUUAGAAUGCAUUUGGAGUACCGUCUUAGAUUUGGAUUUGACUGUAAUUUAUUGUAUUAGAGUGUGAUAAA